GGAGCCGUAGUUCAGCUGGUUAGAACGCUUGACUGUCACUCAAGAGGUCGCGAGUUCGAAUCUCGUCGGUUCCGCCA
rnacentral:tRNA from 2 species